GGUCCCGCCUUUGGAACUCGUGCUGCCGUCCUUCCGGGCCAAGAGCAUUCAAGCUGCACCGACUAAGAGCAAAAAAGAGAUCCCAAAGCCUCUGCGGGUGGACUUGACGGCGGGACGUCAGAGCUACGCGUGACGUUUGCACGUUGACGUGGCUUUUCAGGUGGGAGGGAGUGCCGCUUGACAGCCUGCCCGGGCUCCUAGAGGAAGUUUCAGCCAACACCUAUUGACUCCUACCCUUUACCAAGCACCCUGCUAAGAACUGUAAAGAAGAGGACGCUCUAACAAACAAGAAGUCAACGAUUACAACACAGUGCAAUUAAGUGUUAUGAUAGAGAAAUGCGCCAGGCUGCGCUGGGUCUUCAUUGCGGCAUGCAGGAUCUCUGCAGACUUCUUAGUUGCGGCAUGUGAACUCUGAGUUGCGGCAUGCAUGUGAGAUCUAGUUCCCUGACCAGGGAUCAAACUCGGGCCACCUGCAUUGGGAGCACCCACAGAAC